rnacentral:ncRNA from 1 species
AUAAUCAGGGGAGCUUGUGAACAGGCUGAGAGGAAGCUGUAGCUUCGACCCUUCUGACCUGAUGCGGAUAAUGCCGCCGUAGGAAGUAUCA